rnacentral:rRNA from 1 species
AGGACAGUGGCAGACGGGUGAGUAACGCGUGGGAAUCUACCUUGUAGUGGGGAAUAGCCUUUCGAAAGAGAGGGUAAUACCGCAUGUUUCCAAAUUUAUUUGGAAAAAGACUUCGGUCGCUAUAAGAGGAGCCCGCGUCCUAUCAGGUAGUUGGUGGGGUAAUAGCCUACCAAGCCAAUGACGGGUAGCCGGUGUGAGAGCACGACCGGCCACAAGGUCACUGAAACACGGGGCCUACACCUACGGGUGGCAGCAACCGGGAAUAUUGCGCAAUGGGCGAAAGCCUGACGCAGCGACACCGCGUGUGGGAAGAAGCUUUUCGGAGUGUAAACCACUGUGGCAAGGGAAGAAUUUUUGACGGUACCUUGCUAGAAAGCACCUGCUAACUACGUGCCAGAAGCCUCGGUAAUACGUAGGGUGCAAGCGUUAUCCGGAUUUAUUGGGCGUAAAGAGUUCCGCAGGCGUCUUUACAAGUUUCUUGUUUAAGCCUGAGGCUCAACUUCAGAAAAGCAAGAAAAACUGUAAAGAUUGAGUUUGUUUGGGGAAGCUGGAAUUCUCGGUGGAGGGGUGAAAUCCGUAGAUAUCGAGAGGAACACCAAUCGCGAAGGCAAGCUUCUAAAACAAUACUGACGCUAAGGGACGAAAGCUUGGGUAGCAAAAGGGAUUAGAGACCCCUGUAGUCCAAGCCGUAAACUUUCCUCGCUAGUUGCCUGGUUAAUAAUGCAUAGUAGCUAUAAAUAAUACUAUUCAUUAUUAACUGGGUGACGUAAGCUAACGCGUUAAGCGGGGCGCCUGGGGAGUACAACCGCAAGGUUAAAACUCAAAGGAAUUGACGGGGGAGCGCACAACUGGUGGAGCAUGUGGUUUAAUUCGAUACAAAGCGAAAAACCUUACCUGGGUUUGACAUAUACCUGCACGUUCUAUGAAAAUAGAAUUUCUUCGAGAGUGGUAUACAGGUGAUGCAUGGCUGUCGUCAGCUCGUGUCGUGAGACGUCCGCUUAAGUGCGGUAACGAGCGCAACCCUUGUCGUCAGUUAUACGUAUCUGACGAGACUGCCCUGCUGCUAGCAGGGAGGAAGGAGAGGACGACGUCAAGUCAGCAUGUCCCUUACAUCCAGGGCUACACACAUCCUACAAUGGGACUGACAACGGGUAGCGACAGGGCAACCUUGAGCUAAUCCUUAUAAACUGUCCCUCAGUUCAGAUUGCGGGCUGCAAUUCGCCCGCAUGAAGUCGGAAUCGGUAGUAAUCGCAAAUCAGCAGGUUGCGGCGAAUACGUUCUCGCUCCUUGUACACACUGCCCGUCAAGCCAGCAAAGUCGGCAGCACCCGAA